rnacentral:rRNA from 1 species
GACGAACGCUGGCGGCGUGCUUAACACAUGCAAGUCGAACGGAAAGGCCCUGCUUUUGUGGGGUUCUCGAGUGGCGAACGGGUGAGUAACACGUGAGUAACCUGCCCUUGACUUUGGGAUAACUUCAGGAAACUGGGGCUAAUACCGGAUAGGAGCUCCUGCUGCAUGGUGGUGGUUGGAAAGUUUCGGCGGUUGGGGAUGGACUCGCGGCUUAUCAGCUUGUUGGUGGGGUAGUGGCUUACCAAGGCUUUGACGGGUAGCCGGCCUGAGAGGGUGACCGGCCACAUUGGGACUGAGAUACGGCCCAGACUCCUACGGGAGGCAGCAGUGGGGAAUAUUGCACAAUGGGCGGAAGCCUGAUGCAGCAACGCCGCGUGCGGGAUGACGGCCUUCGGGUUGUAAACCGCUUUCGCAUGUGACGAAGCGUGAGUGACGGUAAUGGGUAAAGAAGCACCGGCUAACUACGUG